UGGAUAAUAGUUUAUAAAAACAUUUAACUUGCAUUUAAAAAAUAUUUUUUUUAUCUAA
rnacentral:tRNA from 1 species